UACGUAGGGUGCGAGCGUUGUCCGGAAUUACUGGGCGUAAAGAGCUCGUAGGCGGUCUGUCGCGUCGGCUGUGAAAACUCAGGGCUCAACCCUGAGCCUGCAGUCGAUACGGGCAGACUAGAGUGAUGUAGGGGAGACUGGAAUUCCUGGUGUAGCGGUGAAAUGCGCAGAUAUCAGGAGGAACACCGAUGGCGAAGGCAGGUCUCUGGGCAUUAACUGACGCUGAGGAGCGAAAGCAUGGGGAGCGAACAGG
rnacentral:rRNA from 1 species